GCGCCGGUGGUGUAAAGGCGUAGAGCAUUCCCGCCCGGUCAGAGGGAGGUGCGGGUUCGAGUCCCGCCUGGCGCU
rfam:Heligmosomoides polygyrus genome assembly, scaffold: HPBE_scaffold0001022